rnacentral:rRNA from 1 species
UCGAGAAUCAUUCACAAUGGGGGAAACCCUGAUGGUGCGACGCCGCGUGGGGGAAUGAAGGUCUUCGGAUUGUAUACCCCUGUCAUGUGGGAGCAAAUUAAAAAGAUAGCACCACAAGAGGAAGAGACGGCUAACUCUGUGCCAGCAGCCGCGGUAAUACAGAGGUCUCAAGCGUUGUUCGGAAUCACUGGGCGUAAGGCGUGCGUAGGCGGUUUCGUAAGUCGUGUGUGAAAGGCGGGGGCUCAACCCCCGGGCUGCACAUGAUACUGCGAGACUAGAGUAAUGGAGGGGGAACCGGAAUUCUCGGUGUAGCAGUGAAAUGCGUAGAUAUCGGGGGGAACACUCGUGGCGAAGGCGGGUUCCUGGACAUUAACUGACGCUGAGGAACGAAGGCCAGGGGAGCGAAAGGG